rnacentral:rRNA from 1 species
UGACGUCAAGUCCUCAUGGCCCUUACAUCCCGGGCUACACACGUGCUACAAUGGCAGGUACAGAGGGCUGCGAAGCCGCGAGGUGGAAGCGAAUCCCAGAAAACCUGUCUCAGUCCGGAUUGAAGUCUGCAACUCGACUUCAUGAAGGCGGAAUCGCUAGUAACCGCGAAUCAGCAGGUCGCGGUGAAUACGUUCCCGGGCCUU